CAAGAAUGUAAUGCUUAUUAGACAGAUAUCUGAAGCCUGGGGUAACAAUAUCAAUCCUUCCAUGAAACAGUUACGUUAA
rnacentral:lncRNA from 1 species